rnacentral:rRNA from 1 species
UACGAAGGGGGCUAGCGUUGCUCGGAAUCACUGGGCGUAAAGCGCACGUAGGCGGAUUGUUAAGUCAGGGGUGAAAUCCUGGAGCUCAACUCCAGAACUGCCUUGAUACUGGCGAUCUUGAGUCCGGGAGAGGUGAGUGGAACUCGAGUGUAGAGGUGAAAUUCGUAGAUAUUCGGAAGAACACCAGUGGCGAAGGCGGCUCACUGGCCCGGUACUGACGCUGAGGUGCGAAGCG